CAAUAGCGUAUGUUAAAGUUGUUGCGGUUAAAAAGCUCGUAGUUGGAGUUCUGCCAGGUGCCGCCUGUCCGCCCCAGUGGUGAGUACGUGGCGCGCAUUUGGCCCUUUCAAGGGGAGCGUAUCUGCACUUUAUUGUGUGGUGCGGGAUCCUUGACUUUUACUUUGAGGAAAUAGGAGUGUUCCAAGCAGGCUCUCGUCGUGCACAGCUCAGCAUGGAAUAAUAGCAUUGGACCUCGAUUCUAAGCUGUUGGUUGCCAGAAGCGAGGUAAUGAUGAAGAGGGAUAGUUGGGGGCAUUCGUAUUUAACUGUCAGAGGUGAAAUCCUUGGAUUUGUUAAAGACGGACUACUGCGAAAGCAUCUGCCAUGGAUGUUUUCAUCGA
rnacentral:rRNA from 1 species